AAUAAAUUUUUUAUGGUUUAAAAAUUUUAUUAAUAGUUUAAUUUUACAUAUAAAUUUUAGUGUUAUAUUUAGUUUAUUUUAAAAAUAAUUUAUAUUUAAAAGUAGUAAUUUAUAUUAAAUAUUUAAGAAAUUAAGAUUUAGUAAUAUUAAAAUUAAUAACAAAUUUUGUGCCAGCAGUUGCGGUUACACAAAGAUUAAAUUAAAUUUUAUUAGUAAUUAAUAAAUAAUUGAUUAUAAAUAAUAAAAAUUUUAAAUUAUUAGGUGAAAUUUUAAUUUAAUAAAAUAUUAUUUGAAUAAUUAUGAUUUAAUAAAUUUUGAAAAAAACUAGGAUUAGAUACCCUAUUAUUAAAAUUUAAAAUUAAUUUACUAAAAUAGUAAAUAAUUAUUUAUUGAAACUUAAAUAAUUUGGCGGUAUUUUAGUUCAUUUAGAGGAAUCUGUUUAAUAAUUGAUAAUCCACGAAUAAAUUUACUUAAUUUAUUAUUUUGUAUAUCGUUGUUAAAAAAAUAUUUUUUUAAAAAAAUAAUAUUUAAAAAUUUUUAUAAAAAAUUAAUUCAGAUCAAGAUGCAGAUUAUAAUUAAGAAUAUAAUGGAUUACAAUAAAUUUAUUUAUGAUGAAUAUUAAUUUGUAAGAAUAAAUUGAAAGUGGAUUUAAUUGUAAUUUUAUUUAGUUUAAUAAAAUGAUUAAAAAUUAAAAUAUGUACAUAUUGCCCGUCGCUUUCAUAUAUUAAUAAGUUGAAAUAAGUCGUAACAAAGUAGAGGUACUGGAAAGUGUUUCUAGAAAGAA
rnacentral:ncRNA from 1 species